CCACCUCACUCCAUGAACCAUUCUACAAAGCUUGUCCUCACGAAGCUAUGUCUCCCCUACUCCAGAGAGGGCCACUGAGAUUCCAGAACCUUCCCACCCACCGGAACAAGGGGGUCUUCCAGCAGCCCUCACUGCCGCAGGACCCCUGCCUGAUGCAAGCUAUGAGCCUCGGUUGCAUCAUCUGCAGGGCCCAGAGCUGGCCGGAAAGGCUCAGCUUGUGAGGCCAGGCCGAGAAAUCCGCUCAUUCGCCAGCACGGGGUCCUCGGGGCAUCCGGCGCUGUCCUCUCCCCUAACGCCACGUGAAAUGGGCGGUCACAAGGCCCUGGGGCGUCUGAUCGCCAGAAGAUCGCCAGAAUGAGGACAGGUUCGCAGUUCACUCCACGCGUGCCCAGGGGUCUUGGGGAUUCCCUAGUUACACGUCUGCUCCCUGAGGCCCCAGUCCACGUGUGUGCACAAGCCAAAAGAACCCCAGAGUUUGUGACUAGGAACUAAGGUAGGAGAAGAGCUUCCUUUUCACUGGUUACCUAGCAUCUGGAGCCCCAUUCUUACCCGAGCUGCCCAUAGCAAAGAGAAGUACAGCAUCGCAACUCGGAAGUCGCAGAAGGUCCAGCCACCAACUCUGGUCUAGGGCAGCAAGCUGUCGGAAGAAGACCGAUCGGAGAACGCAUGCGCGAGAAGAGCGCGCUGAGAGGCCAAAGCUAAAGGGAGGGACCUACGCAUGCGUAAUGGUGGCCGCUUUGUCACCUUAUGGGAAUUGUAGUUCUUCCCACUUUUUUCUCUACAAGUCCCGUCUGUAGCCCCAGGUUUAGAGGCCCGUGCCUGGAAAACAAAAAACAAACAAACAAAAAAACAG